GUCCUCUUUGGCUGUGGCUCUCAACAAAUAGCUUUCCUUUGCCACUUGUUCCCACCAUGAUAUACUGUGCUGACCCAGGUCCAAGUAACAGAUCUAUGAUCAAGGACUGAAGUCCAUAACUUUCUGAAGGCUGGGAUGCUCAUGAUCGAAGUGGCAGAAUUUAGAGUCUGGAGACUCUCUGCAGCAUCCUCACUCCCAACAGCACUUCUCUGAAGAAACCUUUGAAAUCUAGGUGUUGGAGAUUGGGCUGGAUGCCGAUGAACUUCCUACUCUCCACAGUUGCUGCUAACUCAAGUGAUAGAAAUGUCCCAAGAGUGCAGACCAGUGUGCCUAUGCCAAUUCAAGG